rnacentral:rRNA from 1 species
AGCGAACGCUGGCUGCAGGCCUAACACAUGCAAGUCGAACGGACCCUUCGGGGUUAGUGGCGGAAGGGUGCGUAACACGUGGGAACGUGCCUUUUGGUUCGGAAUAGCUCCUGGAAACGUGUGGUAAUGCCGAAUGUGCCCUUCGGGGGAAAGCUUUAUCGCCCUUAGAGUGGCCAGCGUCUGAUUAGCUAGUUGGUGAGUCAAUGGCUCUCCAAGGCGACGAUCAGUAGACGGUCUGAGAGGAUGACCGGCCACAUUGGGACGGAGGCACGGCCCAAACUCCUACGGGAGGCAGCUGUGGGGAAUCGUUCGCAAUGGGCGAAAGCCUGACGCAGCCAUGCCGCGUGGAUGAUGAAAGUCUUAGGAUUGUAAAAUCCUUUCACCGGUGAAGAUAAUGACUGUAGCCGUAGAAGAAGCCCCGGCUAACUUCGUGCCAGCCGCCGCCGUAAGAC